GUUCUCGUAUGGAUCCCGCGAAUGCAUAAAAUGUCCAAUUUACCCCUGUUUUAUUUGUUAAACUACCAGUAACCAUGAAUUAGAUCUCCGUAUCGCUUCUGUUCUUCUGUGACAAGAAGCUUGAUUUUUGAUUUCCACCGGGAAAAUGGGCAAAUCCUAUAGAUUUACACUCGAUUCUCCGUAGUUAAAUGUUACCCACCGAAUAAAAUUGGUCAGUUUACAACUCCAUCGUUGACAGUGGUAUUGAGAUCACAGAAGCUCUAUGACUGCAGAUGGAGUUCCAGAAACAGUUGCAUGAACAGCUUCAGAAGCUGAAUAACACAAGAGAAUCAGUUAUCCCAAAGCUGUUUGCAGAAGCUGAAUAGCACAAGAGAAUCAAUGAUGCUAAAGAGAAAUGAUAAAAUAGAUAGUGUUGUUGGCCUAAUAUGGAAUGGUAUCUUGUACUUGUGUUUGGGAAAGUGCUGUCAAAAACACAAUGUAACGGUAUCAUGGUCUAGUGCAUACUUGUGUUUGUGUUGUCUCUGCUGCUCCAAUGU